rnacentral:lncRNA from 1 species
UCUCAUGGAAACUUGUUUUCAUGUAAGAGUCCUUAAUCCUUUUUCAUGACGAUGUAUAGAGUCUUAGAUAUUUGAUUGUGCUGGAAAUAUAUGUGUAUGAAUUCAUUGUUGUGUGUAACAUAAUGCGAGGUACUCGCUUAUGGUAUUACAUCGUCAUGGAAGGUUGUUAAAUAAUUAUGUUUGAAUGCAUGUGAGUAUUGUGAUAAAU